GGGUUGUGAGGUUAAGCGACUAAGCGUACACGGUGGAUGCCCUGGCAGUCAGAGGCGAUGAAGGGCGUGCUAAUCUGCGAUAAGCGCCGGUAAGGUGAUAUGAACCGUUAUAACCGGCGAUACCCGAAUGGGGAAACCCAGUGUGACUCGUCACACUAUCAUUAACUGAAUCCAUAGGUUAAUGAGGCGAACCGGGGGAACUGAAACAUCUAAGUACCCCGAGGAAAAGAAAUCAACCGAGAUUCCCCCAGUAGCGGCGAGCGAACGGGGAGGAGCCCAGAGCCUGAAUCAGCAUGUGUGUUAGUGGAAGCGUCUGGAAAGGCGCGCGAUACAGGGUGACAGCCCCGUACACAAAAGCGCAUGUGCUGUGAGCUCGAUGAGUAGGGCGGGACACGUGGUAUCCUGUCUGAAUAUGGGGGGACCAUCCUCCAAGGCUAAAUACUCCUGACUGACCGAUAGUGAACCAGUACCGUGAGGGAAAGGCGAAAAGAACCCCGGCGAGGGGAGUGAAAAAGAACCUGAAACCGUGUACGUACAAGCAGUGGGAGCACAGGUUUACCUGUGUGACUGCGUACCUUUUGUAUAAUGGGUCAGCGACUUAUAUUCUGUAGCAAGGUUAACCGAAUAGGGGAGCCGGAGGGAAACCGAGUCUUAAUUGGGCGUUAAGUUGCAGGGUAUAGACCCGAAACCCGGUGAUCUAGCCAUGGGCAGGUUGAAGGUUGGGUAACACUAACUGGAGGACCGAACCGACUAAUGUUGAAAAAUUAGCGGAUGACCUGUGGCUGGGGGUGAAAGGCCAAUCAAACCGGGAGAUAGCUGGUUCUCCCCGAAAGCUAUUUAGGUAGCGCCUCGUGAAUUCAUCUCCGGGGGUAGAGCACUGUUUCGGCUAGGGGGCCAUCCCGGCUUACCAACCCGAUGCAAACUGCGAAUACCGGAGAAUGUUAUCACGGGAGACACACGGCGGGUGCUAACGUCCGUCGUGAAGAGGGAAACAACCCAGACCGCCAGCUAAGGUCCCAAAGUCAUGGUUAAGUGGGAAACGAUGUGGGAAGGCCCAGACAGCCAGGAUGUUGGCUUAGAAGCAGCCAUCAUUUAAAGAAAGCGUAAUAGCUCACUGGUCGAGUCGGCCUGCGCGGAAGAUGUAACGGGGCUAAACCAUGCACCGAAGCUGCGGCAGCGAACGUAUCACUU
rnacentral:rRNA from 1 species